rnacentral:rRNA from 1 species
ACGCAACUUGCUGCCAAGGCAGAGUACAGAAAGAGAGUUACAGACAGACACCGGCCGGCCCACCUCGUCCGCUCGUGAACGUUCGUUCCUUCGUACGCCACCUUACGCUCCUGCUCUCCGCUUCGCCUUCGCGCGCCUCCGGCCAGCUAGCUGCCGACAACGCCCCGGCGAGUCGGCGACAAGCUCGACAGCGACCGUACGUGAAGAAGGUGGUACCGGCGGCAUGGUCGACCACCGGCAACUGGGUGUCGCCGACGCCGACCUCUACGCCGUCCUGGGGCUCAAGAAGGAGUGCUCCGACGCCGACCUCAGGCUCGCCUACCGGAGGCUCGCCAUGACAUGGCAUCCGGACCGGUGCUCCGCGUCCGGCAGCUCGGCGCGCGUCCAGGAGGCCAAGGAGCGGUUCCAGGAGAUCCAGAGCGCAUACUCCGGUCACGAUUUCUCCAUUUCACUAUCUUCUUCUGUUCUACGUGCUUUCAUUCAGAAGCACAACUAAAAGUUAUCUCCAUGGCGAAUAAGCAGAUCUUUCUGCUGCUGCCGCCUACCUGCGUGUGUAAAACUCAUAUGCCGCGUACGGGGCCUCCUCUGUUUCCAAUGUUGUGCCACGCAGUGCUCUCCGACUCCGGCAAGCGGCUCCUCUACGACGUCGGCGUCUAUGACAGCGACGACGACCGCCUCGACGAGCAACAUGUGUCGGGGAUGGGCGGCUUCUUCGGGGAGAUGGCCGAGAUGAUGAGCCAGGCAACGCCAACCGAUAGCUUCGAGGAGCUGCAGCAGCUGUUCGUGGACAUGUUCCAGGCCGACCUCGUCGCCGGCGGGUUCGGCGGUGCGCCACCUAUGGGCCGCCGGGUCCAGGCCCCGGCUCCGAGUCCAUCCUGUACCUCUGGACCUACGUCUGCGCAGGCACGGCCGUCCUGUAACAAGGGUGUGAACAAGCGGUGUUCAUCGGCGAUGGGCUCUGGGACGCCGCCAAGGGCCUGUCGCCCAGGGUCCGCCUCCGGCCCCGGCCUUGACUCCAAGGGAAGUGAUGGGAGGCGAGGGGAGGAAGGGCCAUGGACGACGACGCAGGAAGACGCGAGCAUCGGCGGCAGGAAGAAGAAACAGAGGCUGUCGACGGGCCACGGCGUGUCGUCCUAGGAGGAAGCAAGGGAUGCGCGGCGCGGCCGGGGCGGCGUUGAUGCGCGCCGCCCGUGCUCUCUGCAGAUCUGACUGAGGGUCAGCAAGUUUUGGAAGAUAAUGCGCAAACUUUUAAAUUAGUUUCUUCGUUUAUUCUCUUAGAUUGAUUCUCUUGGGGUAGCACUGGUAGCUACUCCCUCCGUUCGGAAUUACUUGUCGCAGAAAUAGAUGUAUCUAGACAUAUUUUAAUUCUAGAUACAUCCAUUUCCGAGACAAGUAAUUCCGAACGAACAGAGUAAGUUCUAAUGUUAGACAUCUUCAAUAGAUGAUUUAGAUGUAAAAAUAAGGAAAACGAUUGCGCGCUCAGUCGGCUGAUGAUCAUCACGCGUCCAUCACCUCUAUUGCGUGUCACGCGCCCUCAGUUUAAAGGCAAGUGCAUGCGUCCUCUGUAUAAAGGCAAGUGCAAGCGUGUUAUUGCAAAUCUUGACAG